rnacentral:lncRNA from 1 species
CUAGAGGCCAAGCAGCCAGGAGGAGGUAAUCUCUAAAACCACAAGAGAAACCUCCCACCAGGGGAGUGUACAAUGAGCUGGAUGGGGAGGGGGAAAUAUUUGCAUUUACCUCAUCAAAAUCUCCAUAUAAAUAGGCUGGGAAGCAUCAGGCUUUCUCACUUCCCAGGUGCAUGAAGCGGGAACAUCCAAGAGGAUGAUGGCAGCUCACUGCUUGCUGCAGUUCCUCCUCUUCGGGACUCUACUCGUCCCUGCAUACCUGCAGAUGGAAGGAUGUGAUUCUCUCCAUAACACAGUUCCUGGCAAUUUUUCAGUGACUGUCACACCUGAGGUGUACGUGGCAAACACAAGCUACCAGGUUACGAUAAGCAAUGGCAGAAACGACACCACCAACAGAACUGCAACCAAGUAUUUACUUCAAGCCUUGUCCCCCGAAAAUACCACUGUGGGAGAAUGGAACGUAGUAGACAAGCAAAACUGCAAUGAUGUUGAGACAGCAACAUUAAAUGCCACUCAGGAAGCAACAGCAAACUGGACAUCUCCAGGCAGUAAUAUAACUUCCGUGGAAAUAAGGGCAUAUAUCAUCUUUGACAACAGUUCAGCUGAGUUCAAGUCGGUAACUCUGCAGAAAGCUCCAGAAAUAGUACCAACCACAGCCACGACAACCCCCAACUCCAUCUCUGCAGUCCAGAGCAGCUUCUUCUUCAUUGUCAUCACUCAGCUGCUGAUGCUACUCACUACAAGCAAACUGCUCUCCUAG